AUGGGGAAUCCCUCAAAAUGAUCUGUCCUCAGAAUUCUCAUUUAAAUGGUUAUUGACCUAAAUGAACCUUUGAUCUGAAUUGUCAUAGCUAUCCUUGGAUGAGGAGAAGUACACUGACAAAUGCGUCUGUGGUUUUAUCUCUUCUCAUGGUAUUCACAUCAGCAGCAAGUAAUGUUAGAAGAAUAAAGUCUCUCAGGCUUUAUAUUAAGGAUUCAAUUAUUCUGUAUAAUUAGCCCCGAUUUGUUAAAUAUUUGAAACAUUUUCUACUCUUAGGUAUGGAACAGUGUACUGGAGUGAUCAAAACCAUAAAUAACUUGUACCUUUACUCUGAAAAUGCUUUUUUAUCAAAUAAUAAGGAAGAUUAAGCCUAAGUCUCUCUCUUUUUCUGUUUGGAUUUUAUUCCUACAAGAAAUAUCACUUUUGUCCACAAUCUCUCAUGUAUUUCUAUUCCCUUGAAAUACAAAGAGGCAAUGGAUUCUGGUAUAAAUUAGGUAGAUUUAAUGAAAUUUAUGAGUUGUAACUUGUGCCUUGAAUACAAAAUACUUGAGUGAGGCAUAAGGUAUUUUGCUGAUGCCAUUGUUGUCACCUGUCUGUUUUUUUCAUUCUUCUGUGUAUGUUUUUUGAAACACUUAGGAGCUGUGGAGUCUUGGGAAUAGCAGUUUCUAUAUGCCAUACAUAGCAAAUCCUUCCAAGGUCAUCUUUUUUAAAGUGUCUUCUUUUAAAAAAGCAGGGCAGACCUACCCUGAAAAAUGAGAAAAUGGUAUUACUUCCCCACUCAGAAGGUGGCUGUUACCUCAUAUAUGUGCUACUUUCCCAUUUAAUUAGAAAGUGAUUUCUCAUCUGGUGUCGGAGAGCAAUGAAAUGUUGUUGCUCAGUGUCACUGUCAAGGAUUACAGGUUUAGUGGAAGUCACCUCCUUACUGCCCACCCCAGUAAAGUUUUUCCUGUUGAAACACAGAUUCAAUCAUGAGGGACAAUUGAUCUAAAAGCUCUUAAACCAAAGUCACUGAAAUAUUAUUUAGAGAGGUAGCAGAUUAAUUGUGGUUUUCCAUUUGUUAUAAGUUAUGACUGGGGUGGGCAUUAAAAUAGAAAUUAUAAGCACUC